AGGAUUAUAGCUUAACGGUUAAAGCAGAGAGCUCAUAACUCUUGUAUAUUGGUUCGAUUCCAGUUUGUCCUA
rnacentral:tRNA from 2 species